rnacentral:lncRNA from 1 species
CAGUGUCUCCGGCGUGUCCUGCAUCUCGGCAGCCAGCUCCUCUGCAGCUCAGGCCCCGUGAGUCACAGCCGCUUCCUCAAAUGCUUUGGCUGACCGCAUCCCCCCGCUCCGCCAGAACCCUGGAUGCCGGAGCCCUCCCAGCGAGAGCCGUGUUUAUUUUACUUUACAUACAUUUUCCAACCCGGAGCGGCUUCAACACAUGCAGCUCUUAGGCCCGGGCCGCACAUCUCAGAAGCCCCGUGUGCGACUUUGACUGCCGCACGAUCCUCUGCCGGGGGAGGUGGGCCCGCUGCGCUUUGGGAGCACCCGCGCCCGACACUGAGGUCUCGGUGCUGUCUUCGGCCUCUUCGCCCCUGAGGGUCCCCUCUGGGAGCAGAGGCGGUCGGAAAACCCUGGGGCUGAAGUGCAGGCUUCGGGAGGACGCGACCUGCCAAGAUCAGCUCCCGGCACGUGAUGGGAGCCUGGCUCACCUUCCCCCAGCACACGAUGGGGCUGCAGCCUCCCCGGUCAGCCUGGCCUGCUGGAAAGGAGCAGCUCUGUCUCCAGAGGCUUCUGGCGAAGCCCAUGGCCUCCCAAUGUUGGCUGAUUUAUAAGGAAAGAGGGGAAAGGCCAAGUGUGGAUGCCAUUAGCAUAACCUAAUCCAGACCCCAUGACAAGUCCAGGAUCCUGCAGGGAGAGGGCAUCCUUGAACGUGAAGGACUGGGUUUGGAAACUUGGCCUCCCGGAAGAAAGGUCUCCGGGCCCACCCACACCCCCCUUGUGGACGCCCCCGCAGUCUAAUACACUCCACAGUAAGACGGACCAGGAACAGCAGCAGCCUCCGGUGUCGGCCCAGUGAUCCGGGAGCUCAGAGUGUAGGUACCUGACGGCUUGACUCGUCCCCAGGACAAGGCCUGUGAGUGGGAGAGGGGCACUCUGAGUGUGCGAAUCUGUGAGAGUGUGUGUGUGUCUGGGCACGAGUGUGUAUGCGUGUGUGUGCAUGUAUAUUCACAUGUGUGAGGGUGUGAAUGUGUGUGUCUGUGGGUCUGGGCACAUGAGUGUGUGUGUGCAUAUACUACAUUCACGUGUGAGUGUGCAAAUGCGAGUGUGUCUGUAGGUCUGGGCACGUGUAUGCGUGUGUGUGCGAGUACUAUAUUCGCAUGUGUGAGUGUGCGAAUGUGUGUGUCUGUGGGUCUGGGCACACGAGUGUGUAUGCGUGUGUGUGCAUGUACUAUAUUCACGUGUGUGAGUGUGCGAAUGUGUCUGUGGGUCUGGGCACAUGAGUGUGUGCAUAUACUAUAUUCACGUGUGUGAGUGUGCAAAUGUGUGUCUGUAGGUCUGGGCACAUGUGUAUGCGUGUGUGUGCGAGUACUAUAUUCACGUGUGUGUGAGUGCGAAUGUGAGUGGGUGUGGGUCUGGUCACAUGUAUGUAUGCAUGUGUGCAUGUAUUAUAGUCAUGUGAGUGUGCAAAUGUGUGUGUGGGUCUGGGCACACAAGUGUGUAUGCAUGUGUUUCUAUUGUAUUCAUGUGAGUAUAAGUGCAAAUGUGUGAGUGUGUGUUCUCUGCACACACAAGUGUAUAGGUAUGUGUUUGUGUGUGCAUGCACUGUAUUCAUGUGAGUGUAUGUGAAUGUGUGACUGUGAGAGUUUGAGUGUGCCUGGGUGUCUGGCUAUACUAGUGCAUGUCUGUGUUCGUGUGCAUCAGUCUGGGUGUGCCCGUGUGUGAAUGUGUCUAUGCGUGGGUGUCCCAAUAUGUGUGUGCCUGUGUAUCCAUGUCUGGGUGUGCCUGUGAGUGUGAGUGUGCGCAUGGGUGUCUGGAUAUGUGAGUGCUUGUGACUACCUGUGUGUGUAUCCAUGUCUAGGUGUGCCCGUGGGUGUGAGUGUGUCUGUGCGUGGGUGUCUGGAUACGUGUGUGCCUGUAUGAGUGUGUAUCCAUGUCUGGGUGUGCCCACGGGUGUGAGUGUGAAUAUGUAAGUCUUGCGUGUGCAUGAGUGUGUUCACAUGAGUGUGAGGGUCUGUGCAUAAGAGCCUAUUGUGAGUGCAUGUGGAUUGCAUUUAUGUGAGUCCGUGUCUGUGUGCACGCACGUGUCCCCGCACAAGCCAGCCCGAGAGGGAGUGUCCCCUGAACACACCCUGGCAGCACUUGCAGCGUGAUGAGGUUGAGGGAAUGUGUCGCUGAGGUCGUAAAUGCCUCUCGCACGUCCCAACACGCUGGAGCAACAGCAGCCCGUGAUGCCGGCCGCGCAGCCGUGAAGUCCGUGGAGCGUCCCUAAUCACUGGGGGUUCUGCUUUGCGGUGACAGCGGUGCUACUCACAGCUCCAGAACUCUGCAGCUUCCCCCCUGAAACGGGAACGGGAAGGUGGCGCGGGCGUCCACACCUCGAGCCACAGCCGGCGGGAGGCACAGGCUGGCAAAACUGCCUCUCAGUAGUGAGAAGAGACAAACAAACCGAACGCCAGGAGCAGAGGAAACGAAGACGAUGUGGCCAAGAAAAAUUGCAUUUUUCUUUCCAGUUUUGCUAAAAUAGCCUUCUCAUUGGCUGCGGCUUUGGAGGUGGCAGAAAUCAUACGUUUAAUCACGGCGCCCUCCUGCUUGCCAAGGUUAGCAGGGGCUGUACUGCUGUGCCCUCCUGUCCCUGGAGGCUCUGGUGGCCCCACUCCCCACACUGCCAGGCUGGGUGCCACGCUGCCGUGACCCCGGAAUUCAGCCUGUGGUGAUCGGUCUUCCCUAGCACGGAGCUGAGUUAGGGGCUCUAGAAUCAGUCCCAGCCACGUGAGGCUCUCCCUGGGAUGUGAGGGUCGUCUCGUCUGUUUACACGGGGGCCACAGUGCAGAUCCCAGCCCGGGCAGGGGAGGGGCAAAUCUAUGCCCACUUCAAGCUUCCACUUCUGCCCGCCUCAAAGUGCCGGAGACUCCGGCACCUCUGCGUUCCUCCUUCCCGGUAGGAACAGAAAGCUGGGAAAGGGCUGGGGUGGCAAGGAAGAGCCCCAGGAAGACGGGAGUGGCUCUCCCCACUCCCUAGAGGACCUCCCUCCCCCAAGCCCAUGGGCCGCCUUCUCCAGGGACUCUUCCCUGUCCCACCCACCGGGCAAGGUGGGCCCAGCAGGGUCUCCUUUUCACCGUGCGCCCCCUCCUGUGGCCGGGUCCUGGGCUAAUGACCUCACAUGCUGCUUUUACAAGUCAGGUUUAUUGCGGUAUCACGUACACACAUAAGGCUCACCCGUUUUCGAUGUACAGCCGACGACUUGGUAAGGGUCUAGAGUGGGGCACUUCUGCCCCGACAGAGGCAGCCCACAUUUUGCCCCUCUGCAGUCAGGCCCCUUCCCGGCCCCCAACCACCACCUGUCUCUCCUCGCUCCUACAGCUUUGCGUCCUCCAGAAUUGUCCUGUGAGUGACUCCCGCAGGAUGGAGACUUUUGUGUCUGGCUUCCUUCACUUCGCAGCAGGCUUCGCGGGACCCGUGUGGUGGCACCAGCGUCCAGCCCUUGAAACCCAUGAAAGAGGAUCCUGAAAGAGCAAGGGCAGCCUCCAGGUGAAGGUGGUGGGCGGCCUCCAGGUGAAGGCGGCCUCCAGGUGAAGGUGGUCAGCACCCUACCUUUGGCCAAGAGCAGACUGCAGUUUCAACUCAAAGAUUAUUCCUGAAUGAUGCAGCAAGCUUAAACUUCCUUAAAAACAAACCUCUGGGAAGAGGAAAAUGAGGCAAGAUGCUGAGAAAAAGUCAUCUCCCACUCUGCCCUUCUCUGGCAAAUCGAAGUGUCCUCUUGUGGGAGGCGGUGGGCAGCGACACUCCCGUUGGACGUCAGUGCUCUCGGGCCCGGCCACCCCGGAGCAGAACUCACUUAGGGCCUGGUGCCCCUGUGCCCAGUUCUCAGAAUGUCGGAGUGCUCAGUUCUCAGAACGCCGGAGUGCCCCAUUCAUAACCUGCAGCCCCGUUCAUAGCCUGCAGCUCCCCUCCUUCCUCUCCUCCUGGUCUUCAGGGAGCACCCCCAGCUCCCCUCCCCACUCUCAAACCCUCCUCCUCCCUCCCCUCUCUCAGUUCCCUGUUUGCAGGAUCUCCUCCUGCCCACUCUCCAGCCCAGGUCCUCCCCUCUCAUCUCCAAUUCUGCUUCACGGGCCAUGACAGCAGGCAGGCCAUGGCCUGCUCUCAGCAGUUUGAUCGAUGGACUAAGGAGAUCACUCCUACGAGAGUGAAAAAGUCAAGUGUGCCUGAGAUUCGGAUGGGGAGCUCUCAAAGCUAUGGAUUGCAAGAGUCAACACCGCCUCAAAAGUACAAGGCCGGCCGGGUGCAGUGGCUCACACCUUUAAUCCCAGCACUUUGGGAGACUGAGGUGGGUGGAUCACCUGAGGUCAGGAGCUCAAGACCAGCCUGACCAACAUGGUGAAAUCCCGUCUCUAUUAAAAAUACAAAAAAAAUUAGCCAGGUGUGGUGGUGCAUGCUUGUAGAUCCAGCUACUCGGGAGGCUGAGGCAGGGGGAGCACUUGAACCCGGGAGGUGGAGGUUGCAGUGAGCCGAGAUUGCGCCAUUGCACUCCAGCCUGGGCAACAGAGUGAGACCCUGCCUCAAAAAGAUAAAAAAAUAAAAGUACGAGGCCCGGUUUAAAUGCAGGAGGAAUCUGGUGAGCGAGUUUCACUCUGAUGCAACAGAAAAGCCAAGCCAAGCCUUGGCUGUGCCUGAUCUUGGCCGGGGAGCCACAGGCAGGGUCUGCUGGUUUCGGUGUCAGGGGCACAUCGCCAGGACCACGUGUGAGAUGGGAAGUGCCUUGAUGGAAAACUGAUACCUUUUUCUUUCCGAGUAACUUUAGAAUAUGUCGCUUCAAAUAUAACUAAUAUCCUGAUUUCAAUGGACUUGCAUGGAAGGAAACGCAAGUUCAUUUGCCAGUGGGGGGUGAGGACUGGGAGAGUGGGGAGCAGGGUGGGGAAGAGGGGACCAUUCCACAAGCUGCAAGAGCCUGGACACCUCCAGCCUUCAAUAAAUAGCAUUUGAAUUUGCUGUGCCUAAUUCAACCUUGCAUUUGUGUAGUGAAAGUCAGGCCCACGGUGUGUAUAGUUUGGCACAUGAGUUCAGCUCGGGUCCCCUUGAUCUGCUUCUAUGUUCUCACUCUCUCCCUGCCCGGCAUGCCCCUCUUUUUCUAUCCAGAUGAGCGAAGGGGUGAAUUAGUCCAGAAAUGUUUCUGCUCCAGUCAAACAAACAUUAUCACCUGUCAGUCAAACAUUAUCACCUGUCAGUCACCAGAGACGUGCACAGGUGCCUUCUCCUUUGCCUCGAGGUUUCUAUGACCUGGGAAAAGCCCAUCCCAUUCCCGGAUGAGGCUUCCCUGCGACCGGCCACAGACACACGAGCUACGCCCCGCCUUGCCAAAACUUUCAAGGUGGGAUGGAAGAAUCUGUCGUUUCUGCAUUUACGACCCCGUACGUGUUCCGUGCUGCAUCUGUUCUGGUUGGGUUGUCUCUCCUCUCAAGGCCUCUUUUGACCCAAACUUACUGCAAAGCAGAUGAGUGAGCCAGAAGCUGCGCUGGGCGUUGGGGGUUGUGGCAGAGGCUGGGGCUGUAUGUGGGCCGGCAGGCCACGGGCCGACCCACCGCAGGCAGCUUAGCAA